UCACUUCCUCCAUCCAUCCUCUACAGGUCUGUGCAUCUCUCCUCCUACUUCUGUGCGUCCUCCGUCACCGACCAACUUAGCCUCGGUCCAGUCCCUCGUGUGCCAGUGAUCGCCUGACGCGAAGCGGUGCGAGGCAACGUAGGCAGCCGAUGCGCGGGGGCGGGAGUGGAAGCGGUUUUCGUGACGCGCCGGUUGUACUCCGCAAGGACACGAGAAACACGACCAAAACACGAGAAUCCCAAAAGAAAUGGCUAAUUGAGCAGAAAGAAGAGAAUAUGACCUUUUGGUUGCUUUAACAAUGAAAGGACUGAACUUGGAAAACACUUCAAUUUUGUCAGAGGAGUUGAUGCUCAAGUUUUUUGUGCAUUUAAUUCUGAGGGGAAACCACAUCCACAGAAAUUAAAGAAUCAGUUUCGUAACCAGGAUGUGGUGGUACUUGAUUGAAAGAUCUAGGUUGAGAAAGGCACAUUUUCUUUGACGAGCACAAGUAUGGAAAGACCAAAAGAUCCAGAUUGGAAGGACACCGUUCAAAGGUACAAGCACAUGUCAUGGAACUAUUUCUACCGGUGGUUGUAAAGUCCACAUAUCAAGAUGUGAUGUUAUAUCUUCUUGCUUUAUAUAUCUUAUUUUAUGAUGGUGAAUUGAUGGAUGUUGACUAGAUUAACAUUUUCUUUUGCACUGCCUAUUUGCAAAAACAUAAAUGAUGUGGGAAUAUAAGAACAAGAGCUUGUGAUGUAAUGUUCUUUGCUUUCUUUUUAGUUGGCGGUAGGAACGCUUUC